GUGCCAGCCGCCGCGGUAAUACGUAGGGGGCGAGCGUUGUCCGGAAUUACUGGGCGUAAAGCGCACGUAGGUGGCGCGUCAAGAUGGGCGUGAAAUCCCCGGGCUUACCUCGGGGGGGUCGUCCGUGACUGGCGGGCUAGGGUGUGGGAGAGGCAGGUGGAAUUCCCGGUGGAGCGGUGAAAUGCGUAGAGAUCGGGAGGAACACCAGUGGCGAAGGCGACCUGCUGGGCCACUACCGACACUGAGGUGCGAAAGCGUGGGGAGCGAACCGGAUUAGAAACCCCUGUAGUCC
rnacentral:rRNA from 1 species